UACGAAGGGGGCUAGCGUUGCUCGGAAUCACUGGGCGUAAAGGGUGCGUAGGCGGGGCUUUAAGGCAGAGGUGAAAUCCUGGAGCUCAACUCCAGAACUGCCUUUGAUACUGAGGAUCUUGAGUUCGGGAGAGGUGAGUGGAACUGCGAGUGUAGAGGUGAAAUUCGUAGAUAUUCGCAAGAACACCAGUGGCGAAGGCGGCUCACUGGCCCGAUACUGACGCUGAGGCACGAAAGCGUGGGGAGCAAACAGG
rnacentral:rRNA from 1 species